AUUCAUGUAUAGUUUUUCUAAUUCUUCUUUUAAUCAUGAAAUGCGAUCUUGAUCUAAAUAUGUAUUUUUAUUAUUCAUAUUUUGUUUGAUUAAUCAUGAGAAAUGACGAAAAUGAAUAAUCUUAUUGAAUUAAUAUUUAUAGAACUUGAAGUUACCGAUUAAAUGUAAUGGGCUAAAAACUCGGGAGAGAUUGAUACGACUGGACUCUUGUAGAUAAUUGUUUUAGUUUAUACUUUGAACCUUAGCUUUGAUGGCUUCUGAUUGGUAUAGUAUGUCCGUCUUCAUAAACGUGAUGUCUAUUAUGCAAGAGAGAAUUGAUGGAGUGCAGUGGUUUUGCUCUAUGUACUGGUCUUAUUCUAUGAUCAAGAUCAAGGCAGGGGUGUUGCAAGUUUGUCCAUGCAGUAUUUCUUUUGUAUGCGGCCUAAAGGCUAAAAUUGUUUCCUCUAAUAAUUCCAUGGAGAUGAGAAGUCUUUUUCUCUUUAUAGUGGUACUCCAUUAGAUACUAAUUAGACCUUUGCCAAAGAUAUCUAAUCAAUUGGGCAAAAGAAGGCACGAGAUAUAUGGAACUGAUAGUAUAUUUUAAUUGAUUUAGAAGAAAACCUUAAUUGUCAUUCUAAUGGGACUUCGUUUUUCCAAAUAUCAAUUUGAGAUGCUUAUACCUGGCAAGUCAGUGGAGAAUUUGCAUACUUUCCACAAGUUCUUUUGGAUUUAGAUAGAGGCAUCUAGGGUCCCAUAAGGUGAACAAUGCCUACUGCUUGCUAAACUUUUGUGAUCGUAUCACUAGCUGGAAGCAUUCACAAAGAUAGUCCUGCUAGGUACCUUAUUUAUCAGCAGGUGGUUGAUAGCUAGGACUUCAACUCAUAUGGUAGUUGUUGUGGCAAUGAUGACAUUAUGGCUAGGUACUUUAUACAAACAUUUGCCCGGUAAACAGGCUUUUAAAAGGGGAAGUUGGCCAAAUACCAAUUCACAUUUCUACGGGAGAAACUCUCUGUAUUUGUUGAUGCUGCAGUGUUACAUUCCGCUUUUGGUUUGCAAGUCUUUCUUUUCAGAUCUUUGACAUUGAGAAAGAGUUCCUUUUAUACAUUUCAUCUUACAAAAAAAGGUGUCUUUUAUACAAUUCAAAAUCUGUAACAUCAAAGUACUAGAUGCUUCAGAGCUUAUUUUCUGUUAACACUACUUAAAUGAAUGAUGCUUUCAGGAAUACAAGUUUGCUGGACAAGACACCAUGAUCUUAGCUGGAGUGAGCAUGGAAGUGAAAGUUCCCAAGACUUAGGCUGCCUAGGGUCCCAUAUUCUGGGAGUGAAAGAUGUAAUUGCCAAAAGCUUCGAGAAGAUUCACCAUGGCAAAGGCAGGAAUAGGAAUUUAUCCUCUAAUUAAGUUUUAACGCCGGUGAGCAUGAGAAGAUUGGACAGUGCCUCUGUGAGAUCUGUCAAAUUUUAUCUCAUAUUUCUCUUUAGUAAAGCGUCUUGCAUUCCAGAUAUGGAUGGAAGUUGAACGCUGCUUUGGAGUGAUUUUCUGUCACCUUGGUUAAGGCUCCUCCUCUAUACCCGAGUGUAAAGCUAUUUUCCUUUAGAGCAUGUUCAUGAAAUUUGCACUUCUGGCUUCUCAUAUCAAAUGUAUAUGCACUACAGUAUUAAUUGUUUCAUUAGUUUUAUCCACGA